AUAGUUAAUGCAUACGAAAAAAGAUUAUCAACAAAGUAACGAAUCAGAGACAGAAACUGACAUAGAAACACUAGAGGAGAUACAUAGGUGAAGAAUCAAUUGAACAAAUAGAAAUCAUUGAUCUCAACCUAACCAUGGCACAUACAUACAGUAGUAGAGUUUUUAAAAUUAGCCUAAUCGCUGACACCAGAAUUUGUUGAAAAGGCAGGAAACCUACAAAGUUUCUUGGAAGCAUUGAAUCUAAUAAAUUCGUUACAAGGCACUGAUGGAUUAGCUGCUGUAAGCAUUAUUACUACAAAACUGAAUGGCCAUGCUAGAUAUUUGCUAAGUCAUGAACAGACAAUUCUUGCCAUUUGUUACGGCUCAUCGGUUUCUCUGGGUGUGGUCCCAUCCCUGGCCCGCAGUCCAUACAACCGAUAACAACACUAACCAAAUAACAUAUAGACUGGUCAAACCCGAACAAAAACGAAGGCGACUUUGGACCAGCCGCAAAAAAAAAGAUUGUCACCACCAAAUAUACGGUUUGACCAGUCUAUAUGUUAUUUGGUUAGUGAUAACAACAAAGCUACAACGUCUGUAGCAAAACAUACCUAUACAACACUAUUCAAAAUGAGCCACAUAAUCGAUAACAACAUACAAUCGGAACUUCUAACAAAUGAACAACAUAAACAGCUGCGACAGAUAAAUGUAAACAAGCAAAGAUCGGGUCCCGGUUCUGGACCCAGCCUACCCGCCCUACCAUGAGACCCCCCAUGGUUUCUAAGUAUUUGUGUGGGCACAUUGUUCCCAAAUCGGCGCAACGAUUGCCUCAAAAUUGCUUCCUUGCUUGUCUCUUUUUGCGGCGACUAGCAAUAUCUUUGCAUUGUUUCGUCGCCUGUUCCAUUUAGUGCUGUUCAAAUAAAAAAAUGAAUUCUAUAAUCUAAAAUUUAGAAAUUAAUACACAUUGUCCAUAAUCAUAAGUAUAUGCAACAUUAAUACGAAGAAAUGUUCACGUGCAUGAAAACUGAAUUAUCUUAAUGGAGACACCUUAUAAAUAAGAAAGAGAUAAGAAACAUUAAUUUUUAAUAAUCAUAAGGAAUGCAACCAAUUAUACGCACAUAUUGAAGAGAGAAA